CGGCCUACUCAGCUGUUCACCCGAAACACACUCAUACACGGCUAGAGCCCAAGAAAUUAUGCCACUGCACACGUUCUGAACGCAUGUGCAGUGACGGGUACAUUUCAUGCGUCUGAAAGUACCACAUUGUAGUACCUCCCACCUCAAUUUCCGCGAGUUUGACUUCUGGCCUGUUGCGAUGAAUCGCUUACCCAGGGAGGGAGAUGUUUCUAAAUAUGGAUCAAAUUGUUACAAUUACAUUUACAGAAUGUGAACGCUACACCAAGGCGUUGGUGAGAAAAAUGGAGGAAGAAAUAAACUACUUUUCCCACAUAGCAUUACAACUACAAAGCUGACGCUGGUUAGCUAGCUUAUUUUCAUUGAAAUAGCAUUGCUAGUUAGCUAUCAAUAGUCUUCUGUCUAGCCUGUAACUAAUGGUUUUUACGUUGUGGAACAGAGCAAUAGUUAUUUGUACUUGUUAUUUGGUUGAGACGAACAUUAGUUUAGAAAAUAAUUGUUUACUUUGUGUAUAUUUGUUGUGUAAUUGGUUGGCUUUGCUAGUUAGCAAGCUCAGAUUUGUGCUAAAGUUGGUCAAUUUAGCUAAUGUUUUAGGAGAACAGGCUAGCUCCCUGCAGAAUCUAGACAAUAGAGAAUGGGGAAUAAGAUCUGGUUGUUGCAGUGCCCAGACGAGGUGAGAGCAAACUGCUACAGAGAUAAAGGAAUCUACAAAUGCUGUUGAUCGAGCGCCACGGAUGAAGGAGGAAAUCCGACAGCUUCUUUCUACCACACCUUCACCAAGUCAUACAAUGUUUGCUUCAUGAUUCAUUGUUACAUCAGAAAUAAAUACAGAAUUGUUUUAUUUUAUUCUGUUUUUUUUAUGCUGGAUGUGAGUAAUUUAUCAGGUCUGUAGUAUAAUGUAUUGUUUUGAAACGUUAUUAAAUAUCUAUCUUCAGUCAAAACUCACUUUGUUUGCUAAAAUAAUGUUUGUUUUGUACUGUUUCUUUUUACAUACUGAAACAGUCAUUAGUUUUGAGCUAGACUAUGAUCGGGGAAAUCUGUACUAUGCUUUUUUAAAUGUUGAUGAAUGAAAUCAGCACGGUUUUUUAAUAGUUUGUUGCUACUGUCUAGCGAGGAAGUGGGCAAUAUGGAAUACAUUGGAGGAGGAAGGGAGAAUGAAUAAGAAAUAACUUGGACAAUGUCAGAAUAAGUAGGUCAAUGUACAGCCUAUCAAUGACAAAGGAAACAGUGCAGAGGUAUCCUUAAGAUAACAUUAGAUAUUUGGAUGGCUAGCCAGCUAUUCUCAAAACAUUGGAUUACCAGUUUGAGCGGUGACAUCUGUUUGCAGCACAUUUUCACAUGGACGCUAUAUACACUGAACAAAAAUAUAAAUGCAUCAUGUUAUGUGUUGGUCUCAUGUUUUAUGAUCCGAAAUAAAAGAUGUCAGACAUUUUCCAUAUGCACAAA